rnacentral:rRNA from 1 species
UACGGGGGGGGGCAAGCGUUGUUCGGAAUUACUGGGCGUAAAGGGCUCGUAGGCGGCCAACUAAGUCAGACGUGAAAUCCCUCGGCUUAACCGGGGAACUGCAUCUGAUACUGGAUGGCUUGAGUUCGGGAGAGGGAUGCGGAAUUCCAGGUGUAGCGGUGAAAUGCGUAGAUAUCUGGAGGAACACCGGUGGCGAAGGCGGCAUCCUGGACCGACACUGACGCUGAGGAGCGAAAGCCAGGGGGAGCAAACGGG